rnacentral:rRNA from 1 species
AUACUAAUAAAAAUAAAUUCCUUAAAUUAUUAAUAGAUGUAUUCUUUAAAUUUGAAGAAUUUGGCGGUGGUUUAGUCUUGUUAGAGGAACCUGUUUUUGAAUCGAUAAACCACGUAAAAUCUUACUCAUUUUAGUUAGUUUAUAUACCGUCAUUAUCGGAUAAUUUUAAAAAAAUCAAUUAUUGAAAUAUUAGGAUUAUAAAAAAAUAAAUUAGAUCAAGGUGUAGCUUAUAAAUGAGUUAAAAUGGGUUACAAUAAUAUUUAGUUAUUAUGGAUUGAGUGUAAGAAGUUACAGCAUGAAGGAGGAUUUAAUUGUAAUGUAAGUUUAAUAAGCUUAAAAGAUAUAAGCUCUAAU